rnacentral:lncRNA from 1 species
AUGGCGCUUGGCCAGACCGCUGACCCAGUGUCACGGGAGGGACCGGGGGAUUGGAGGUAUUUUUCUGUGUGGAUUUCAGGGAAAGAUUUUCCAAUCCCACUGAAGACUUUUGAACUCUUCUUCACCCAGUUGAGAAAGCAUUCGAAUCUUCAAACUUUAGUUCAUGCUUGGAAGGAAGUACUCGGAGCAGAAACACAAGAACAUCUGUCUUCUGGUAUAACAGUGUCUAGUAAUGUAUUUCAAUUGCCAUGCAUUCUGAAUGAUUAAGAUUCUUGAUCCUCUGUUAUAAUCACAGAAUAAAUUUAAAGCUUUCUUACUUGUCUCUGGGUAU